rnacentral:rRNA from 1 species
AGAGCCCAGCAUGAAAAUUGGGUGGCAGUGUCGCCUGAAUUGUAGUCUGUAGAAGCGUCCUCAGCGGCGGACCCGGGCCAAGUCCCUUGGAAGGGGGCGCCUGAGAGGGUGACAGCCCCGUCAGGCCGGGACCCUGCCGCAUUACGAGUCGUUGUCGGCGAGUCGGGUUGUUUGGGAAUGCAGCCCUAAUUGGGUGGUAAAUUCCGUCUAAGGCUAAAUACGGGUGAGAGACCGAUAGCGAA